UACAGAGGGUGCAAGCGUUAAUCGGAAUUACUGGGCGUAAAGCGUGCGUAGACGGUUAUGUAAGUCGGGUGUGAAAGCCCCGGGCUCAACCUGGGAAUGCCAUUCGAGACUGCAUAGCUAGGGUGCGGAAGAGGGAAGCGGAAUUUCCGGUGUAGCGGUGAAAUGCGUAGAUAUCGGAAGGAACACCAGUGGCGAAAGCGGCUUCCUGGUCCAGCAUCGACGUUCAGGCACGAAAGCGUGGGGAGCAAACAGG
rnacentral:rRNA from 1 species